CAGUGUUUCAUCAUCAGUCAUCUGACACUAAGUGACAGGCUGCGGUUGUUAGCUAGCAGUCCAGCUAAGUCCAAUUUGUGCAUUAUGAUGUAGUCCUUUUUAGGUUUUUGUUUUCCAGUAGAAUAUUAUAAUAGAAACCCCUACUAUAUGUGAAGUGCACUGGUGAUGAACAUAGUAAUUGUAGCUAAUUCUACGUAAACAACAAUAGGGAGAAGAGCGCUCGGCGGAAAUGGAGUCCCUAGAGAAAGCUAGAACAAGAUGGGUGUCAGGAGUGGGGCAGCAGGAGGAGACCUAUACUUGGAAAACGGAGGAGGAAUGGAGGGAAAAAGAUAGGGCUUGUGUCGGAUAAAAAUUGUGGGAAAGGGGAGAUGGUUUGUUAAAUAAGAAUGGUAGAAAGUGUAAGCAGGGGGAGCUGAAGACAGGAGGAGAAAUGGAAGUGAAUAAGUGUGAAGUAUCCUAUGUAGUAGGUUCGGUGAAGUUAUUGUAUACCGAGGUAUGCACCGAGGAUCAGGAUGAAGAAGAGUCUGGCAGUAGGAGUGAAGUUUAUGGAAAAAAGCGUACUCUUCCCUUUUUGCUGAUCCAUUUGUGGUUUCACGGUGGGUGAAAAAAAUUGUUGGGUGAUGGUAACUAGAAAUAGUCUAGUGAUAACUGUUUGUGUUUUUGUGAGGCAGAGGGAGAAUACGCUUGGAGUAAAACUAAUGAGGGCAAGAAAAGUGAAUUGUUUCGUUCUCAAGAAAAGGGCACAAAUGAAAGGAGUGAUAACAGGGGUAGCAGUAAAUAUAAAAGUUGACCAGCUGAGGGGAAAGAUUCCCGGUGUAUGUGAUGAUCGUCGUUUGAUGCGACGCAAACAGGGUGGGGAAACGGAAGUCAUUGUCUGUUCUUUUGAAGUUGAGUCUUUGCCCGAUAAAGUUUGGAUAUAUAAGUAAUCCUGUACGAGCGAUGUGCCGACUACAUUACGACGCUACAGGUGUCAAGUUUAUGGGUAUGUGGCAGCAGCGUGUAGGAGGGAGGGUCCAAGGUGUGAGAAAUGUGCAGAAGGGCAUGAGACAAAGGAAUGUGUAGUAUGGGGGAAAGUAGUUGUGUUAAUUGUUGGUGUGCCUAUGGAGCUGGGGAUCAUAAAUGUCCCUUGCGAGAGAGGCAGGUUGAGGUUUCCAGGGUUAGAGUAGUGCAUUAGUUGUCACAUUGUACUGAAGGGAUGGAUCGGAAGUCUCGGGAAAAUUGAGGUUGUGGUGGCAGCUGCAGAGAGGUAUUUGGGUGUGCUAGACUUGACAUCAGAAGAGUUACAGGGUGUGUUAAGUGGUGACGUCCCAUCCUUUCAGGGUGAUGGCAUGAGGUAGGAGUAAAUACAUUUAAUUAGUGGAGUAGGGUGGUGUUCAUUUAAUUUUAUAUCAUUUUGAAAUUAGUGAGUGUAGUGUUAGAUGGUAGGGUAUUUAUUUAGUACAUUUGUAUUUUUCAAGUGUAUAAUGGAGUUGUACUCCAGUCUAGUAGAUGGCGGUAAUGAAACAAAUUGGAUGUCAACCGCUGUUAAACCUCAGAAGAAAUAAACAACAAUAUGUCUGGACCAAAUGGAGAUCCUAACAUCUCAACUGACGAUGACAUCAUCGACAAUGAAGAUGAAUUCAGAGUAUGUAGCCAUUAACACUGCUGGAUCAGAUCAACUCCUGCCUGGAGGACCUGGAGGAACGCAACGACUCACUGAAUGACCAACUACAUGAACUGUUGGAAUCUAACUGGCAGGCCUGGCAGGAUUUCAGAGUUCAACUGAGCACUGCUACACCCUCAGGAGAGGAUCAACAGUCCCUGGACAAAGAUUCUCCGGCCUCUGAAGGGGAGAAGGGCGAAGAGGAUAAAGCUGGACUACUCAAUGUUACACAAAACAACAUUCCACCUACCAAUAUGAGCAUCUUUCCUUUUCUCAAGUGUUCAUGUGAUAGGAUUUUCUCUGUCCCUUUCAUGUAGCACUUAUGAACCCUCCACUAAACUAUACAAUUUUAAUCGAUACACAGCUGUUGAACUUGUAAGAUGGUUCCUGCUUAGUUAAGUAAAAGAGCCAAAAGCUGAGUACAUUCUCUGUGUUGAAGUGACUAGUUUAUGCCACCAUCACCACUUACAAUGUAUACCAAUGUUUCAGUUUAGCUAUCCGUAUAGUCAAUUGCCCCCAUGAUUAGUACUUAUUUAUCCAUGUGCUUGGUGUGGGGUGUAAAGCAUGCAGAAUACGCUGUGAUUCAUGUCAUAACUGGGGUGUAUUCAUUUUGCCGAAUUGGUUUCUGUUCCAAAACGUUUUGCAACGAAAACAAGUUUCUAUUGCACAAAUUCAGGUAGGUCCCUCCGUUUCAUUUGCUAUGUUUGGCUCUAAGAUGGUAAACAGUUUCUGUUGUAAAAUGUAAUGAACACACUGGUGGUAGGUAAGCAGCUAAGUUAAUCUCUAUGGGGUAAUACUACAAAUCAUAUGUGAGCUUUGAUUGGUCAAUAUUUUUCUGUGACACGCAAGAAGAGAUUAAUGUGUUUGUGUUCCACUUCUUUCCAAUUCAGUUUUUCCUUGUCAGAUUUAAUAACAGUAUAUUGAAUGUGUUACUGUUAAUUAUCUGAGUGUGACAUCUUGAAUCACUAGCGUCAAGAACUAGCUCUUUAAAACAAUGCGAUAUUCAAUAAUCACAGUGAGGCAAUUGUCAAAUUUUAUUAUAAAUUAAAAUGACCCCAAUACAGAAAACAUCCCAAAAAUACAUGAAACUUCCAGCUGCUAGAAAACACUUGUUCAUCGGUUUGUCAUUUGUAGAAUAAAAAUACAUUAAGAAACAUA